rnacentral:rRNA from 1 species
AGUGAACGCUGGCGGUAGGCCUAACACAUGCAAGUCGAACGGCAGCACAGUAAGAGCUUGCUCUUACGGGUGGCGAGUGGCGGACGGGUGAGGAAUACAUCGGAAUCUACUUUUUCGUGGGGGAUAACGUAGGGAAACUUACGCUAAUACCGCAUACGACCUACGGGUGAAAGCAGGGGAUCUUCGGACCUUGCGCGAUUGAAUGAGCCGAUGUCGGAUUAGCUAGUUGGCGGGGUAAAGGCCCACCAAGGCGACGAUCCGUAGCUGGUCUGAGAGGAUGAGCAGGCAAACGGGAACUGAGACAGGGUCCAGGCCCCUACGGGAGGCAGCAGUGGGGAAUAUUGGACAAUGGGCGGAAGCCUGAUCCAGCCAUACCGGGUGGGUGAAGAAGGCCUUCGGGUUGUAAAGGCCUUUUGUUGGGAAAGAAAAGCAGCAGGUUAAUACCCCGCUGUUCUGACGGUACCCAAAGAAUAAGCAACGGCUAACUUCGUG